rnacentral:tRNA from 1 species
GCAUUGGUGGUUCAGUGGUAGAAUUCUCACCUUUUAUACUAGAGACCUGGCUUAGAUUCCUGGCCAAUGCA